rnacentral:rRNA from 1 species
CACCCCUUUACGGGGUUUCCAGCCGGGCGCGAAACCUUUACACUGCACGACAGUGCGAUAGGGGGAUCCCAAGUGCACAGGCAUAGCGCCUGUGCUUUUCGGUACCCUAAGGCGGUACCAGAAUAAGGGCUGGGCAAGACCGGUGCCAGCCGCCGCGGUAAUACCGGCAGCCCAAGUGAUGGCCGAUCUUAUUGGGCCUAAAGCGUCCGUAGCUGGCCACGCAAGUCCAUCGGGAAAUCCACCUGCCCAACAGGUGGACGCCCGGUAGAAACUGCGUGGCUUGGGACCGGAAGGCGCGACGGGUACGUCCGGGGUAGGAGUGAAAUCCCGUAAUCCUGGACGGACCGCCGAUGGCGAAAGCACGUCGCGAGAACGGAUCCGACAGUGAGGGACGAAAGCCAGGGUCUCGAACCGGAUUAGAUACCCGGGUAGUCCUGGCCGUAAACAAUGCCUGCUAGGUGUGGCUCCCACUACGAGUGGGUGCUGUGCCGUAGGGAAGCCGCUAAGCAGGCCGCCUGGAAGUACUCGGAAUGGACCC